UCCAGCAGAGUACAUACCUGCGUCUAGACGCAUCCUCUGACCUGAGUCUCUCAGCAUCUCAGGAGGAUGUUCUGAAUCACCCUGGAAACCCUCUGAGACAUCUUUCUGAAGAGAAGAGCAGUUCUGAUGAGGCUUUCCGAUGUGACCUGCGAUGAUGGAGUGGUCUCGGGCUCCCUGCCAGCUGAGCAUCUCAGCACAAAAACCUAGGAAUGAAUUCCUCAUCAUUGAGGAAAAGUCCAGAGAGAAAAGAGCAGCCACCCAGGGUAAAGAAGGGAACCCAGAGAGCCAGUCAAGUCAGACCUGAAAAGACCAGCCUCCUGCUGCCAACCUGCAGUCACAGCACUCGGCUGAUUCUGCUGCCCUGCCACUGGCACGCAAAAGAGUACAAGAUAUUCCCACUCUCCUCUUUGUCUAAUUCCACAAGCCUAAGGAGGCAAUAAUGACCAACCUCUUGGAGUUUUCCAGUUGAUUAUAGAGAACAGCAUUGUAUUCCGCAGUAUACUCUGGCCGCCCUGCCACCAGAUGAAAGGAAAAGCAUAAAAGCCCGAGCAAGCCUGGGACUCUGCCUUUCCUGCCGCAACAUGCCAUCAAAUGCAGCCGGGGCCCUCCACGGAGGCAGCCAUUCUGUUGUUCACGUUCACCGAGUUCA